GCCCGCUUAGCUCAGUGGUAGAGCGCAUCACUUGUAUACAUCGCAAAUGAUGAGGUCGGUUGUUCAAUCCAGCCAGUGGGCA